AGAGUUUGAUCAUGGCUCAGAAUCAACGCUGGCGGCGUGCCUAACACAUGCAAGUCGCACGAGAAAGGGACUUCGGUCCUGAGUACAGUGGCGCACGGGUGAGUAACACGUGAAUCAUCUACCUUCGAGUGGGGAAUAACUGAGAGAAAUCUUAGCUAAUACCGCAUAAUACCUACGGGUCAAAGCAGCAAUGCGCUUGAAGAGGAGUUCGCGGCAGAUUAGUUAGUUGGCGGGGUAAUGGCCCACCAAGACGAUGAUCUGUAUCCGGCCUGAGAGGGCGCACGGACACACUGGAACUGAAACACGGUCCAGACUCCUACGGGAGGCAGCAGUGGGGAAUUUUGCGCAAUGGGGGAAACCCUGACGCAGCAACGCCGCGUGGAGGAUGAAAUCCCUUGGGAUGUAAACUCCUUUCGAUAGGGAAGAUAAUGACGGUACCUAUAGAAGAAGCCCCGGCUAACUUCGUGCCAGCAGCCGCGGUAAUACGAGGGGGGCAAGCGUUGUUCGGAAUUAUUGGGCGUAAAGGGUGCGUAGGCGGUUUGACAAGUCUUAUGUGAAAUCUAUGGGCUCAACCCAUAGUCUGCAUGGGAAACUGUCGGGCUUGAGUAUGGGAGAGGUGAGUGGAAUUUCCGGUGUAGCGGUGAAAUGCGUAGAUAUCGGAAGGAACACCUGUGGCGAAAGCGGCUCACUGGACCAUAACUGACGCUGAUGCACGAAAGCUAGGGGAGCAAACAGGAUUAGAUACCCUCGUAGUCC
rnacentral:rRNA from 1 species